rnacentral:tRNA from 1 species
GGAGAGGUGUCCGAGCGGUUGAAGGAGCACGCUUGGAAAGCGUGUAGCCGGGAAACUGGCUCGUGGGUUCGAAUCCCACCCUCUCCGCCA